UACGUAGGGUGCAAGCGUUAAUCGGAAUUACUGGGCGUAAAGCGUGCGCAGGCGGUGAUGUAAGACAGAUGUGAAAUCCCCGGGCUCAACCUGGGAACUGCAUUUGUGACUGCAUCGCUGGAGUGCGGCAGAGGGGGGAUGGAAUUCCGCGUGUAGCAGUGAAAUGCGAGAUAUGCGGAGGAACACCGAUGGCGAAGGCAAUCCCCUGGGCCUGCACUGACGCUCAUGCACGAAAGCAUGGGGAGCAAACAGG
rnacentral:rRNA from 1 species